GAUGAACGCUGGCGGCGUGCUUAACACAUGCAAGUCGAACGAAGCACUUUAUUUGAUUUCCUUCGGGACUGAUUAUUUUGUGACUGAGUGGCGGACGGGUGAGUAACGCGUGGGUAACCUGCCUUGUACAGGGGGAUAACAGUUGGAAACGGCUGCUAAUACCGCAUAAGCGCACGGCAUCGCAUGAUGCAGUGUGAAAAACUCCGGUGGUAUAAGAUGGACCCGCGUUGGAUUAGCUAGUUGGUGAGGUAACGGCCCACCAAGGCGACGAUCCAUAGCCGUCCUGAGAGGGUGACCGGCCACAUUGGGACUGAGACACGGCCCAAACUCCUACGGGAGGCAGCAGUGGGGAAUAUUGCACAAUGGGCGAAAGCCUGAUGCAGCGACGCCGCGUGAGCGAAGAAGUAUUUCGGUAUGUAAAGCUCUAUCAGCAGGGAAGAUAAUGACGGUACCUGACUAAGAAGCACCGGCUAAAUACGU
rnacentral:rRNA from 1 species